GAGUUUGAUCAUGGCUCAGGAUGAACGCUAGCGGCAGGCCUAACACAUGCAAGUCGAGGGGUAACAGGGAUUGCUUGCAAUCCGCUGACGACCGGCGCACGGGUGCGUAACGCGUAUGCAACCUACCUUUUACAGGGGUAUAGUCAAGAGAAAUUUUGAAUAACACCCCAUACGAUCAUUUUUACACCUGUAAAGAUGAAGAAAACUCCGGUGGUAAAAGAUGGGCAUGCGUCCUAUUAGUUAGUUGGUGAGGUAACGGCUCACCAAGACCGCGAUAGGUAGGGGUCCUGAGAGGGAGAUCCCCCACACUGGUACUGAGACACGGACCAGACUCCUACGGGAGGCAGCAGUGAGGAAUAUUGGACAAUGGAGGCAACUCUGAUCCAGCCAUGCCGCGUGCAGGAAGACUGCCCUAUGGGUUGUAAACUGCUUUUAUACAGGAAGAAACCUU
rnacentral:rRNA from 1 species